CGACCGGCGCACGGGUGAGUAACACGUAUCCAACCUGCCGAUGACUCGGGGAUAGCCUUUCGAAAGAAAGAUUAAUACCCGAUGGCAUAGUUCUUCCGCAUGGUAGAACUAUUAAAGAAUUUCGGUCAUCGAUGGGGAUGCGUUCCAUUAGGCAGUUGGUGAGGUAACGGCUCACCAAACCUUCGAUGGAUAGGGGUUCUGAGAGGAAGGUCCCCCACAUUGGAACUGAGACACGGUCCAA
rnacentral:rRNA from 1 species